rnacentral:rRNA from 1 species
GCAUAUCAAUAAGCGGAGGAAAAGAAACCAACAGGGAUUGCCCUAGUAACGGCGAGUGAAGCGGCAACAGCUCAAAUUUGAAAUCUGGCUCUCGGGCCCGAGUUGUAAUUUGUAGAGGAUGCUUUUGAUGCGGUGCCUUCCGAGUUCCCUGGAACGGGACGCCAUAGAGGGUGAGAGCCCCGUCUGGUUGGAUGCCAAAUCUCUGUAAAGCUCCUUCGACGAGUCGAGUAGUUUGGGAAUGCUGCUCUAAAUGGGAGGUAUAUGUCUUCUAAAGCUAAAUACCGGCCAGAGACCGAUAGCGCACAAGUAGAGUGAUCGAAAGAUGAAAAGCACUUUGAAAAGAGAGUUAAAAAGUACGUGAAAUUGUUGAAAGGGAAGCGUUUAUGACCAGACUUGGGCUUGGUUAAUCAUCUGGGGUUCUCCCCAGUGCACUUUUCCAGUCCAGGCCAGCAUCAGUUUUCGCCGGGGGAUAAAGGCUUCGGGAAUGUGGCUCUCUCCGGAGAGUGUUAUAGCCCGUUGCGUAAUACCCUGGCGGGGACUGAGGUUCGCGCAUCUGCAAGGAUGCUGGCGUAAUGGUCAUCAACGACCCGUCUUGAAACACGGACC